UGGAGUGUAGCCAAGAGGUAAGGCAACGGACUUUGACUCCGUCAUUCCGCUGGUUCGAGUCCAGCCACUCCAACCA
rnacentral:tRNA from 1 species